UGGGGAAUUUUGGACAAUGGGCGAAAGCCUGAUCCAGCAAUGCCGCGUGCAGGAAGAAGGCCUUCGGGUUGUAAACUGCUUUUGUACGGAACGAAACGGUCUUUUUUAAUACAAGGGGCUAAUGACGGUACCGUAAGAAUAAGCACCGGCUAACUACGUGCCAGCAGCCGCGGUAAUACGUAGGGUGCAAGCGUUAAUCGGAAUUACUGGGCGUAAAGCGUGCGCAGGCGGUUAUGCAAGACAGAGGUGAAAUCCCCGGGCUCAACCUGGGAACUGCCUUUGUGACUGCAUAGCUGGAGUGCGGCAGAGGGGGAUGGAAUUCCGCGUGUAGCAGUGAAAUGCGUAGAUAUGCGGAGGAACACCGAUGGCGAAGGCAAUCCCCUGGGCCUGCACUGACGCUCAUGCACGAAAGCGUGGGGAGCAAACA
rnacentral:rRNA from 1 species